CCUACGGGAGGCAGCAGUGAGGAAUAUUGGACAAUGGACGAGAGUCUGAACCAGCCAAGUAGCGUGAAGGAUGACUGCCCUAUGGGUUGUAAACUUUUUUUAUAUGGGAAUAAAAUGUUCCACGUGUGGGAUUUUGUAUGUAUCAUAUGAUUAAGGAUCGGCUAACUCCGUGUCAGCAGCCGCGGUAAUACGGAGGAUCCGAGCGUUUCCGGAUUUAUUGGGUUUAAAGGGAGCGUAGGUGGAUUGUUAAGUCAGUUGUGAAAGUUUGCGGCUCAACCGUAAAAUUGCAGUUGAAACUGGCAGUCUUGAGUACAGUAGAGGUAAGCGGAAUUCGUAGUGUAGCGGUGAAAUGCUUAGAUAUCACGAAGAACUCCGAUUGCGAAGGCAGCUCACUGGACUGCAACUGACACUGAGGCUCGAAAGUGUAGGUAUCAAACAGGAUUAGAUACCCCUGUAGUC
rnacentral:rRNA from 1 species